GCUUAACACAUGCAAGUCGAGGGGCAGCAUGGUCUUAGCUUGCUAAGGCCGAUGGCGACCGGCGCACGGGUGAGUAACACGUAUCCAACCUGCCGUCUACUCUUGGACAGCCUUCUGAAAGGAAGAUUAAUACAAGAUGGCAUCAUGAGUCCGCAUGUUCACAUGAUUAAAGGUAUUCCGGUAGACGAUGGGGAUGCGUUCCAUUAGAUAGUAGGCGGGGUAACGGCCCACCUAGUCUUCGAUGGAUAGGGGUUCUGAGAGGAAGGUCCCCCACAUUGGAACUGAGACACGGUCCAAACUCCUACGGGAGGCAGCAGUGAGGAAUAUUGGUCAAUGGGCGAGAGCCUGAACCAGCCAAGUAGCGUGAAGGAUGACUGCCCUAUGGGUUGUAAACUUCUUUUAUAAAGGAAUAAAGUCGGGUAUGGAUACCCGUUUGCAUGUACUUUAUGAAUAAGGAUCGGCUAACUCCGUGCCAGCAGCCGCGGUAAUACGGAGGAUCCGAGCGUUAUCCGGAUUUAUUGGGUUUAAAGGGAGCGUAGAUGGAUGUUUAAGUCAGUUGUGAAAGCUUGCGGCUCAACCGUAAAAUUGCAGUUGAUACUGGAUACCUUGAGUGCAGUUGAGGCAGGCGGAAUUCGUGGUGUAGCGGUGAAAUGCUUAGAUAUCACGAAGAACUCCGAUUGCGAAGGCAGCCUGCUAAGCUGCAACUGACAUUGAGGCUCGAAAGUGUGGGUAUCAAACAGGAUUAGAUACCCUGGUAGUCCACACGGUAAACGAUGAAUACUCGCUGUUUGCGAUAUACUGCAAGCGGCCAAGCGAAAGCGUUAAGUAUUCCACCUGGGGAGUACGCCGGCAACGGUGAAACUCAAAGGAAUUGACGGGGGCCCGCACAAGCGGAGGAACAUGUGGUUUAAUUCGAUGAUACGCGAGGAACCUUACCCGGGCUUAAAUUGCAGAUGAAUUACGGUGAAAGCCGUAAGCCGCAAGGCAUCUGUGAAGGUGCUGCAUGGUUGUCGUCAGCUCGUGCCGUGAGGUGUCGGCUUAAGUGCCAUAACGAGCGCAACCCUUGUUGUCAGUUACUAACAGGUUCCGCUGAGGACUCUGACAAGACUGCCAUCGUAAGAUGUGAGGAAGGUGGGGAUGACGUCAAAUCAGCACGGCCCUUACGUCCGGGGCUACACACGUGUUACAAUGGGGGGUACAGAGGGCCGCUACCACGCGAGUGGAUGCCAAUCCCCAAAACCUCUCUCAGUUCGGACUGGAGUCUGCAACCCGACUCCACGAAGCUGGAUUCGCUAGUAAUCGCGCAUCAGCCACGGCGCGGUGAAUACGUUCCCGGGCCUUGUACACACCGCCCGUCAAGCCAUGGGAGCCGGGGGUACCUGAAGUGCGUAACCGCGAGGAGCGCCCUAGGGUAAAACUGGUGACUGGGGC
rnacentral:rRNA from 1 species